rnacentral:tRNA from 1 species
GCGCCUGUAGCUCAGGGGACAGAGCAACGGAUUCCUAAUCCGUGUGUCGCAGGUUCGAUUCCUGCCAGGCGCACCA